CCACAGAGAUCACUGGUGACACCACAGCACAUGCGUAUUUCAAAUUACUGUAACUCCUCGCUACUUCGUGCAAUUUUAAUCAUUCAAACUGCCCCUGAAAGCUGUGAAACGGGGCUUUCUGGUGCUAUUACAUGCAUUACGGUAAUGACUGAGUGCCGUGUGGGGAGAGGGAGGAAAUGAGGAAAUGAGUAUUAUAGUGCUAAAAGGGUUAACACAAAAACAAGGAUAAAAUCCUCCCCUCACAAGCUCUAUAAUUAGCAUGUUUCACAUUUUAUGAGAGAUGAACAAACCAGACAUAUAAAUAAUGAGCUUUACAAGUGUCCAUGAGCAGAUUUUUUGGUAGUUUGAGGUUGGCUCUUUACCCUGCUUGCCAGACUUGGUGCUAAGCUAAGCUAACCAGCUGCUGGGGUCUGUACUACGAAUGCAGGAUGAUGGGCUAGCAAGAUGCACAAUGAGGGACGUCUGCAGAGACUGAGAAAGAGUCUCACCGCAUCCUGACAUGAGGAAAGAGACUUUAUUGAAGACUACAAUGAGAAAAACUAUCCAGACAGCAGACGGCUGCAUUCAAGGUGAGCUCUGAACAUUUGAUCUGGAACAGGAAUUCAAUAACGGCAGCAUGAGCUUCAUUUCAGUCUGUAGCUGCUGAAUUCAUGGAUGAAUCAUCUGGCACUAGAGAGGAAGAUCAUCAAACAUCCACGUCAGCUGAUGGAGGUCCAAGAGUCUCACCGAACAAACAACCUACAGAGUGAAGACCUCAAAUCUGAUUGGACGGCCUCCUAUUCAGCCACGUGUGAACAAAUGCCUCUAAGCUGAUUUGUUUUCUAAAAUAAAUCUAGUUUGAGUCCUAA